AGAGGUGCGGUGCUGCACUGAAGCGGAGCCUCGGUUAGGGUUUGGAUCCAGAGUGGAACGGGGACAAGACGAGUUGCGGCGAAAAAGUUUCUCUUGUUUUUGCCCCUUGCGAGCUUUAGUGCUUGGCAGGAGAGGGUUUUGAUUGCAACUUUUCAGCCCUACCCUCGCUGCUCUAUUGUGUGGCGGUUCCAGAGAGAUAGCCAUGGCGGAGCGAGGUGGUGAACGUGGGGGCUUUGGCCGUGGUUUCGGUCGUGGCGACAGAGGUGACCGAGGUGGCCGUGGAGACAGAGGUAGGGGAGACCGCCGUGGAGGACGUCGUGGUCCGAAGCGUGAUGAGGAGGAGAAGUGGGUGCCCGUAACCAAGCUCGGGAGAUUGGUAAAGGAGGGUAAGAUUAAGUCGUUGGAGCAGAUUUACUUGUUCUCCCUGCCCAUCAAAGAACAUCAGAUCGUGGAGUUUUUCUUGGGUUCUGCUCUGAAAGACGAGGUUAUGAAGAUCAUGCCCGUCCAGAAGCAGACUCGUGCUGGACAGCGUACCAGGUUUAAAGCUUUCGUUGUCGUUGGUGACAACAAUGGUCAUGUCGGUCUGGGAGUUAAGUGCAGCAAGGAAGUGGCUACUGCUAUCAGGGGUGCCAUCAUUUUGGCCAAGCUAUCUGUCAUUCCAGUUCGCAGAGGAUACUGGGGUAACAAAAUUGGCAAGCCCCACACCGUGCCUUGCAAGGUUACUGGGAAGUGUGGCUCCGUCACCGUCAGGUUGGUUCCUGCUCCCAGGGGUUCUGGUAUUGUAGCCGCCCGAGUGCCCAAGAAGGUCCUCCAGUUCGCCGGUAUUGAAGAUGUAUUCACUUCAUCACGCGGCUCCACCAAAACUCUUGGAAAUUUCGUUAAGGCGACAUUUGAGUGUCUUUUGAAGACUUACGGUUUCUUGACUCCAGAUCUCUGGAGGGAAACUAGGUUUUCUAAGUCGCCAUUCCAGGAAUUUACUGACUUCCUUGCUAAGCCUCACAAGAUUAGCGUGGUGGAGGAUGUAGAGAAGACCCCUAUAUAUUGAGGAGCUCGUUAAUUACACCAUUGCAGAAAAUCACUUGGAACAAGAGAUGUUUCCUUAGACGAUGUUGCGCGUUUUGAAAAGAAUCUUCCUCAUCUCGUAGCUGAUGAAGAUGGAUGAUAAAACCAUUCUACUUGAGUUUUGUACUUGUGUAGAUUUAAAAGCUUUCUUUGAGACUUGGUUGGGGGAGUCUUUUCUAAACUAGAGUUCACUCUAUUAUAGAAAAAUAGCUGAACGAAGGACCUUGCAAUGUCCCUGGAAUACUUUCAUCUCCUAUGGGGUGGGGAUUGUUCUCUAUUAAGUUUCAUAUUUAGGCAA